UACAAAGUAGAAAAUGAAUGUGUGGUUCAGGCACUGCUGUUGGAUUCAGAAGUUCUGAGUUUAAAUUCCAACUGUAUGCUGUAAACUUGUGUUGACUUAAGAAGAGGAAAAAACAAAGAACAAAGCAGCAACCUAAAAUAAAUCUUUUGUGAAAGACAUAUAACAAGUAGCGAAGCAGCUCUAACAGAAAUUUGAGCAGUGACUUCCAGAAGGAGCUGGACUUGAAGACGAUGUGCCCCUAUCCAC